rnacentral:lncRNA from 1 species
GAGACUGUAAGUUCGGGUGCCCGCGGAGUGCUAAAUUUAUCUUCAGACAAGCGACCGCGCCAGCCGCGAAUCGGAUCCCUAUGGAGGUGGCAUAGGCGAUAUCCCAGAGCUGAGAGCAUCACCCGGCCCCCGAAUCCUUCUUUCCUCUAUUUUGUUUUUCAUUUUCCCUCCUCCUCCCUCUCCCCUUACCCUUUCCCCUUCCAGUCCGCGACGACUGGCUCUUGACCCUGUUCAGGCCUCUGUGAAGGCUCUUGGUUACUUCCCUUCUACCCAGUCCCUUAAAUUUAUUUUUUUGAAGAGUGCAUUUCAAGCUGCCAAGGUGGAGAGAGUGAUUGCAGAAGGGAGUGCUGCUCAAUUCAGAAAAGGUGUGCCUACCUGAAAGCACCAGGAAGUCGAAUGAGAGAUCACCUGAUACACGAACGUGUGAUGUUCCAUCUGCGCAUUGAUGCAUAGGCAACAUUUACAGAUUAACUAAUGUGUUCUAUAUAUCAUCUCUUUGAUGAUCGCUCAUCUUCUAUGUAUCCUGUCUUAUAAUUUCAACACAUUUGUGAUACUCAAUGUUUAUUCUAAAUUAACCAUGUUUUGUACCACAAAUACAUUGCCUAUGGAUCUGUUGCUGAAACAAGGAAGUCUUAAACAAGAAGUAGAAUCUUUUUGUUAUCAAAUUGUGUCUGAAUCAAAUGAUCAAAAGGUUGGAAUAUUACAGAGUGAAGAUGAGCAGUUGCAGCCUUCAGUUUCUAAAAAUUCAGAAAGUGAGCUUUCUAGGGUCAAAUUUAUGUCCAAUUCCAACAAAAUAACAACAUUUAGUAAGAAACCAAAAAGAAGAAAAUACGAUGAAAGUUACUUGUCUUUUGGAUUUACUUACUUUGGAAAUAGAGAUGCACCUCAUGCUCAGUGUGUGUUAUGUAAGAAAAUUUUAUCAAAUAGCUCUUUGGCCCCUAGUAAGCUUCGAAGACAUUUGGAAACCAAACAUGCUGCAUAUAAAGACAAAGACAUAAGUUUUUUCAAGCAACAUCUUGAUUCACCUGAAAAUAAUAAACCCCCAACACCUAAAAUUGUCAACACAGACAAUGAAAGUGCUACAGAAGCAUCAUACAAUGUAAGUUACCAUAUAGCUCUGAGUGGAGAGGCUCAUACUAUUGGAGAGUUGCUUAUCAAGCCUUGUGCAAAAGAUGUUGUGAUGCGGAUGUUUGACGAACAGUAUAGUAAAAAAAUAGAUGCAGUACAACUAUCAAACAGUACCGUUGCACGUCGAAUUAAAGAUCUAGCUGCUGACAUUGAAGAAGAGCUUGUUUGUAGACUGAAAAUUUGUGAUGGGUUUUCACUGCAACUAGAUGAAUCGGCUGAUGUUUCAGGACUUGCUGUGCUGCUUGUGUUUGUUCGUUACAGGUUUAAUAAGUCUAUUGAGGAAGACCUACUCUUAUGUGAAUCUUUGCAGAGUAAUGCCACUGGUGAAGAAAUUUUCAACUGCAUCAACAGUUUUAUGCAGAAACAUGAAAUUGAAUGGGAAAAAUGUGUUGAUGUUUGUAGUGAUGCUUCUAGGGCAAUGGACGGGAAAAUUGCUGAGGCUGUCACCUUGAUAAAAUAUGUGGCUCCCGAAAGCACCAGUAGUCACUGCCUAUUAUACAGACAUGCACUAGCAGUUAAAAUAAUGCCUACAUCUCUGAAAAAUGUGCUAGAUCAGGCAGUACAAAUCAUCAAUUAUAUCAAAGCUCGACCGCAUCAAUCCAGACUAUUAAAAAUUUUAUGUGAAGAGAUGGGUGCCCAGCACACAGCACUUCUUCUAAAUACAGAAGUGAGGUGGCUUUCCCGAGGUAAGGUUCUUGUAAGACUUUUUGAGCUUCGUCGUGAACUCUUGGUUUUCAUGGAUUCUGCGUUUCGACUGUCUGACUGUUUAACAAAUUCAUCUUGGCUGCUAAGACUUGCAUAUCUUGCAGAUAUUUUCACUAAAUUAAAUGAGGUUAAUAUGUCAAUGCAGGGAAAAAAUGUGACAGUUUUUACAGUAUUUGAUAAAAUGUCCUCACUAUUAAGAAAAUUGGAAUUUUGGGCCUCAUCUGUAGAAGAAGAAAACUUUGAUUGCUUUCCUACACUCAGUGACUUUUUGACUGAAAUCAAUUCCACAGUUGAUAAAGAUAUUUGCAGUGCCAUCGUGCAGCACCUAAGGGGUUUGCGCUCUACUCUGUUAAAAUAUUUUCCUGUAACAAAUGACAGUAAUGCUUGGGUUAGAAAUCCAUUUACAGUAACUGUUAAACCAACCUCAUUGGUAGCACGGGACUAUGAGAGCCUGAUUGAUUUAACAUCUGAUUCUCAAGUAAAACAAAAUUUCAGUGAACUUUCACUAAAUGACUUUUGGAGUAGCCUAAUUCAAGAGUACCCAGGCAUUGCCAGGCGUGCAGUUCGUGUACUUCUUCCUUUUGCUACAAUGCACCUCUGUGAAACAGGGUUUUCAUAUUAUGCUGCAACAAAAACGAAAUACAGGAAAAGACUUGAUGCUGCUCCUCAUAUGCGGAUCCGACUUAGCAACAUUACACCUAAUAUUAAGCGGAUAUGUGAUAAAAAGACACAAAAACACUGUUCUCAUUAAAAUUGGAAGGUUUUGCAUGUGUCUUGAUAACCAAAUAUAAGAUGAGAAUAAAAAUGAUUUACUCCAAAAAAAAAAAAAAAAAAAAAAAAAAAAAA